UAAGUUUAAGUGGAUUUUCCUGUUGCAUGUUAAAUCCUCCUCAUUCAUCAAUGAACAAGAACAGGUGAAAUUUAUCUCACUUAUCUUAGGUCUACACUUGUCUAAAUCAUCAGAUUAGAUAUUGACUAUAGAGGAUAUUGUUGUUUUUUUCCGGAAAUUUGAGUAUCCUAACAAGAUUCAUUAUGAUUUGAAUUCUUUAAAAAGAAAAAAAAAUCAGACAUGUAUAAGCUCUUAAGAGAUGACGAUAUUGGAAAAUCAUUUAGAAGAAUGGUAGGCUUCAAUAAUUCAUAAUGAAGUGAAGAAAAGAGGUACUGAUAACUAGAAACAUCCAUUUAUUACAGUAGUUCUAUUAAUCUCUGUCUUUCCCCCUCUCAAUUUCUAUUGUUACUCUUGUUAAAAAAAAUGAUAGGUUAUAUAUAGACCAUGUCCUGAUAGAAAUCCUAAUUUUACCAAAACUCUUAAACCAACUUCUUCUCUAAAUACAAAGUUUAAUUUAAUUUCUACAGAUAAGUUGUUUAAUAUGCAUUCCUUGUUGCUGUUAUACUUUUUUUUAAAGUAGAAUUAAGGACUUCAUGCUGCCAAUUUCUGGGCAUUGAUGUCUUACCAGAAACAAUCUCAGUAUGAUCUGCAUUUAGACAUCUGUAGAAAAAUUGAGAUAAACUAUGGCCAAGAUGAUUUACCUACAAAAUAUAUGCUCUUUUGAGAGCUCAAUUCUAUUAAUCAGAGCAGGUUAUACUCAAAAUUUCUAAGAUCUAAAGGAAUUAUAUUCUGACCUUGUUGCAGUUAUGGCUAUGAUCCUUUUGGGCUGAGCAAGAAACCUGAAGAUUUUGCCAAGUACGUGCACCAUAUCAACUGAUUCAUCUACCUUCACUCACAUUUCUCAACGUCAAUAAGUCAUCAUCAAGUAGAAAGACAUUGGUGCUAAAUCCUUUAUUUCCAUUGUGCAGAUACCAAGCUUAUGAGCUCAUCCAUGCAAGGUGGGCAAUGCUUGGUGCAGCUGGCUUCAUCAUCCCAGAGGCCUUCAACAAAUUUGGUGCAAACUGUGGCCCUGAGGCUGUCUGGUUCAAAGUACUUGAAUUAUGCUUAUUUUGUACUUUAACAAUCUUAAUACUAUCAUACGCAAUCAGAUUAAUCCAUCUACAUUUCGAACCAAAAUCGGUGGCCUUUCGAUGCGUUUGCAGACUGGUGCUCUUCUCCUGGAUGGGAACACACUGAACUACUUUGGGAAGAGCAUUCCAAUCAAUCUUGUGGUUGCUGUCAUUGCCGAGAUUGUGCUUGUUGGAGGUGCUGAAUACUACAGAAUCAUCAAUGGACUGGUGAGAACUUUCUUCUUUCUAGUGUUUUAUAUCAGUUCAUUGCAACUGCAAGCAACCAUCAACGCAGGCAGUGUUGCUGCUUCUACUGCCUUUAGACAAGGAUUGGAUGAUUUGUUUGUAGGAUUUGGAGGACAAGCUGCACCCUGGAGGUCCAUUUGAUCCACUGGGGCUGGCAGAUGAUCCAGACCAAUUUGCAUUGCUCAAGGUGAAGGAGAUCAAGAACGGGCGACUCGCGAUGUUUGCGAUGCUGGGGUUCUUCCUGCAGGCCUAUGUCACUGGGGAAGGACCAGUGGAGAACCUCACCAAACAUCUGAGUGACCCAUUUGGAAACAAUUUGCUCACUGUCAUCUCUGGAGCAGCUGAAAGAGCUCCAACCCUGUGAUCUCCCAGCAGUGUUUCUUCUCUUCCAUGAUCUGCAUGCCAUGUUGACCAAUUAGAUCAUUCAUCGCAAUGUAAAAUGUUAUUUGAUACUUCAAGUAAUUCUUGUUUCAGCGAAAACAUUCUGUGCAGUCAUUGCAAAUGUCACAGCUGAAUGUAAACUUUUGGACGCCAAAUUGCUUCCAUAUGACGUUAGAUGUCUCCACUAAUAUCAAAGGUAUUGCUAUUAUUUAAUGACUUUAUCAUUUAAAUAUCGUUUCUCAUUCAUUUAAAUGACUUUAUCAUUUACCCUUUACCCAAAAAAAAUAUUGAUAAAUAUAGAUUAUUUAUAAAGUAAUGAAGUUCAUAUUUAUAAUGAUAACUUCAUAAUCAUCCUCCCAUGUAAUAUUCACUGACCAUAAAUGUAGAAUAAAUAUAGAAAACCAAAGUUUUGGUGAGUAGUAAAUACAAAGCAUGUUGAUCCAAUCAAUGGCAUCAUGUUGCAUUUAUGGCCCAUGUCAUCUCCACAUGAUACUGAGAUGGGUUAGUUGAAAUCCUCGAUGGGGCUACCUCAACGAAGAAAGAGGUAUUUAAUCGGUGAAGGUAUCAUAAUUGUAGCAUGAGAUCCAUAGUCUACCGUCACCGUCAAACGUUAAAUAAAUCAGUGAUGUCACGUUGCAUUCACAAUCUAUGUCAUCUCCAUAUUAAUAUCAACACUGAUAUGGGUUUGUUGAAAUCCUCAGGGCUAUCUCAAUAGAGACAAGUUGUUUAAUCGAUGAAUAUGUCAUAGUUGUAGUAUGAGAUCCAUUAUAUCAUCAUCAAGUGCUAAAUAAAUUAGUAAUGUCAUGCUACAUUCACUACCCGUGUCAUGAAUGCUGACACUAAGAUUGGUUGAUUGAAGUCCUCAACGGGGCUACCUCGAUGGAGGCAAGGUAUUCAAUCGCGUGUCAUAAUUUUAGUAUGAGAUCCAUAGUCAACGAUCAUCGUCAAGCACUAAAUAAAUUAAUGAUGUUAUGUUGCAUCGUCAAGCGCUAAAUAAGAUUUCAUAUUGAAAAUACAAUGGUGAAUUUAAAAAAACACUUAGUUUUUAAUUUUUUCUCAGAAAGUAUCCUGUACAGUUCUCUAACAGCGUCCUUUUUUUAUACCUAGAAUAUUCUCCUUUUCCUAUGUAUUCUAUUUUAUUAUAAUAUUUUUAACUAUAUUAUAAUAUUUUUAAUAAUAUAAAAAACUAUAAUUUAGUUAAAAAAUACUACAACACAAUGUUUUUAUAUAUUUUUUAUAAAAAAUAUUUGUGAUAUUUUUAUAUUAUGUUAUAGUGUUUUUAACAAUAUCAAAUAAACACUAAAUAUAUAAUUAUAUUGUUGAAAGCACUGUAAUGUAGUAUAAAAAUAUUAUAAAAAAGAAUAUUUUUGGGAAUUCUGGAAAUAGUGGACACGUUCAAGAAAAAAAAUCUAAAAAUAGAGUUUUGUUUAUAGUUUGCCCAUUAAAGAAAGAAAACACUAUUUAAUAAAAAUAUUUGAAAACUAUUGGUCACACUAUAAUAAUAUUAAAAAAUUUAAAGUAUGAGAUAACACAACCUAAAUCUUGAUCCCAAAUCAAGAAGAGAUCAACAUUAAUUAUUUAUUUAAAAUUUGCAUGGAUAUAUGCACAAAACUCAAAUUGUGAGGAUACGAAAUUUUAUUAUUAUUAUUAUUAUUAUUAUUAUUAUUAUUAUUAUUAUUAUUAUUAUUAUUAUAUUAACAAUUUAAAAUCACAAAAAAAAGAAUCCCUGGUAAUAUCUUCCCUCUCCUCCUCAUCUAUCAUUUUUCGGUAGAGAAGAUGACGCCACGCGGCCAACGCAAACCCACUCGAACGUGACCACAGAAUCCAACUCCAAGGUUCUCCCAAAUACACCGAGGCCACCGAGAGAGGAGGAGGGCAGCCGCCGUGAGUGACUUCUGCUUCACAGCGUCCGCACAUAAGCCGCCAUGGCCUGCACCACCCAGUCCAUCAUAUCCGCCAACAGCUGCGUCUUCCCCUCUCCCAGGACCUUCAGGAAGCCACGGUGGGUGAGACCGCACACGAAGCUCUUCGCCGUGAACGCAUCCUCUGGCUCCGACGACUCCGACUGCAACGCCGAGGAGUGUGCUCCGGAUAAGGAGGUAUGGUGUCCGCUUGAUUCCUGUUCUGCGCAUGCCAUUAUUUAGCUCCUCCCUUUUGAUGCUGUGUUCACCUAGUUUUCGACUCCUCUGAGGCCUGCAUCUUUGGAUCUUAUCGGACCUCAUUUUAUCAUAUGCUCGAUCUUGUCAGUGGAUGUCAUGACAUGGUUCUUGCAAGGAUGUAAUUAAUUGUGUGACAUUGAUGUAUUAAUCAUCAGAAUUGACAGUUCAAAUCACUGGACUAUUAAUCAUCAGAACCUCUAUGCUUAUUACCUUUGAGAUAAGAGUAUAUGCAAUCAUAUCCUGCAAUUUGUAAUGUAUGUAUGUAUAUAUAUGUUUCUUUUUGGAUUUUGUAAUCAUAUCUCUAUGCUUUGUUACGAUUGGAUUUUUGACCAGCGAGGGAAGAGAACAUGUCGCUUCUGAAAGGAUUUUGGAUUAGAUAGUGAUGAAUAAUGUGCCUAGGAUUAUUCUUGAAAGGAAAAAUCUUGUCAUUGUUGACAACAUGAGUGAUGAAUUUGGAAACUAUGCCUCGACCCUCUUUUAGUGCCAAAAAAUAAGUAUAAGAACCAAUGAUGAUGAAAAAAUUAAUAGAAAUAUGCUCGUGAAUCUCGAUUUAUGGAACAUAGUAGCGCAGUCCAUAUUUGAUUUUGACAUAAAAUUCAAAAGUUUUAUAAGACAAUUGUGAGACUAACAAUUCUUUAUUGAUUUGAGUGUUGGAUAUUUAAAAAAUAAUAUAUACAAAAAUUUUGUGUUGCCGAGAUGACAAUGUUGAGAUGGAUAUGUGGAGUUACUAGGAAAGAUAGGAAAAAAAAAUACUUUUAUUCGUGAACAAUUAGGUAUAGAGGAUAAGAUGAGAGAAAAUCGUUUAAGAUGGUAUGCGCAUGUGCUUAGGAAUCCUUCGGAUGCGAUAGUCAAAAGAGGUGAAAUAAUUAAUGUUAGUGGUAUGAUGAGAGGUGAAGGAAUACUUAAAAAGACUUUAAUAGAAAUUAUAAAUAAAUAUUUAAGUACUCUAAGCUUAACUAAAUAUAUGAUUUUUUAUAUAUCUCAAUAGUGAAAAAAAAAAACCAUGUAUCCGAAUCCAAAUAGUUGGACUUACGACUUUGUUAUUGUUAUUAUUGUUGUUGUUAUUGUUGCAUUCGAAAAUUUCUUCUUUAUUUCAUUUAUGAAAUGAAAUAAUAGUUAAUUUUAUUUCUUUAAAAGGCAAAGAAGAUAGACCAAAGCAUAAGCUUAUUUCAUUAAGUUUUGUAGGUCGGGAAGGUCAGCAUGGAAUGGUUAGCCGGCGAGAAAACAAAAGUGGUUGGGACAUUCCCACCUCGCAAUCGAGGUUGGACUGGUUAUGUCGAGAAAGAUACUGCUGGACAAACAAACAUAUACUCAGUUGAGGUUUGUGUUUUUUUCCCCUGAAAGUUAUGCGAUAAGUAAAACUCAACCAUUACAACCAUCAUGUUUGUACAUGUACUUAUUUGCUUGUCAAAGUUCUUCAAUUCUUACAACAAAGUUAUACCUAAUUAGCAAUCCUGAAGUUGUAUUUGAACUAUUAAAAUGCAAAUACGCUUCAUCCUAAAAGACUAACAAGUUCCAAAGUGGUCAUCGUUGGCCAACAGAAUAGCAUAGGAUAGAUAAUCUUGCCGGUUGUGAUUGACUGAAAAACUUUGAACUUUUCUAUAUCUAUUGAUCUUCUAGAUUAUUUAUGAAUGAAGUCAAUAGUGUUGCUACUAAAAGAAAAGUUAUCUUUCUUGUAGCCCGGAAGAGAAUUAAUUUUAAGCAUUUUGUAAGAUGGCUUAUUGUUUUAUGAUGCAGUGGUUCAUUGUAUCCUUCAAAUAUAAUUGACAUCAUGUUAAUUGUAAGGUAUUCAUCAUGUACAGAAAAUAUGCAAAUCUAAAUAACUUAUCCAAGCUAAACUUAUAAGGCCUACAAAUUAUAUACACAUAUAUAGAGAGGAAUUAAAUGUUUUGGAAUGUAUCCUAAUGCAUAAUCAAUAAAGUGAAGUGAUAAUAGAACAAGAAGUCUGUUUUUUUCGUUCUCACCAAAUCCAUGUUCUCCAGCCUGCAGUUUACGUUGCAGAUAGUGCAAUAAGUUCCGGGACUGCAGGAACAUCAACUGAAGGAUCAGAGAACACUCUUGCUAUAAAUGCUGGUUUAGCCCUUAUUUCGAUUGCUGCAGCCUCAUCGAUACUCCUCCAAGUCAGCAAAAGUCAGCCACAAGUACAGAUAACAGAGUAUUCCGGACCACCCCUCAGUUACUACAUCGACAAGUUCAAACCGGUGCAGAUCGUUGAAGCUUCAGCACCGGCCGCACCUCAAACUUCUGCACCCGUCGAAGCUUCUGUUCCUGCUGAAUCUUCGAGCUCUUCCACCGUUGAAGCUUUGGUCCCAACUUCCGAGUCACCAUUGUCGACAACUAUAGAAGACGGUAGCAAGCCAGAGGCAGUUCCUGAAGUUCAGGUUGCUCAAAGUGCAAGUGCAAGCAGUGUUUCCUAAGCAAUCUUCCACUUUAGUCACUGAGUAAUUUCUGUUCCACCAAUUGUUUUUGCUGUAUCAUGCAGCUGCAUCUGCUAAUGAAUAUGAGAAUGCUUGUUUUGGCAUCCAAAUCAUAUGUACCAGCUCUUAAUGUGCGUGUCAUAUAUAGAAGAUGCUAACUUUGGUUGGCAUUAUGUUAAGAUACAUUUUGGAAAAAUAUUUACAAGUGCUGAACACAGAUCAUAGAUUACUAGAACAGAAGCUUUCUACUGUAGUCGACCAAAGCAGUGAUCAUGAUUCUUCACUGGUAUGAGAGAGAUGUAAGCGUCCAAUAUUGCAUUUGUUUGAAGCUCAUCUUCUCAACUUGGCUGUUUUAUGUUCAUGAUCUUGUGUAGAUUAUGUCAUUGUUUCAAGGAUUUUCUGAUUAAAGAAGUUUUCUUGUUUCUCUACUUCUUUUCUUUUUUGUCCUUCACUAAGAUUUGUCUAAAUAACACUAAUAACACAGUGACAGAAGAUCUCCAAGCACUGCCUGUUCACUCCAUAUGGGCAACAAGGUUCUAAAUAUUCAUAUACAGGAGAAAAGAUGUUGCAAGGAUUGCAAUCUCCAUAUCCAACUCCUGCAGUUCUAAUCCAGACUGGUACAAAACUGAGUUAUACUAAUUUACUAUGUGAGUAAAGAGGAAUGAUAGGUUAUAUAUAGACCAUGUCCUGAUAGAACUCCUAAUUUUACUAAAACUCUUAAACCAACUUCUUCUCAAAAUAUAAAGUUUGCUUUAAUUUCUAACAUAUAAUGCUUCAGUCAUUUUGCAUCAGUUGUUUAACAUGCAUUCCUUGUUGCUGUUAAUACUUUUUUUUAAAGUAGAAUUAAGGACUUCAUGCUGCCAAUUUCUGGGCAUUGAUGUCUCACCAGAAACAAUCUCAGUAUGAUCUGCAUUUAGACAUCUGUAGAAAAAUUGAGAUAAACUAUGGCCAAGAUGAUUUACCUACAAAAAAUAUGCUCUGUUGAGAGCUCAAUUCU
rnacentral:lncRNA from 1 species